GGAACACUUUACAAAGUAACCAUCACUACAGCUUAUUUAGAGGUGGCAUAAGAGGACCUCAGUGGGGCCAUUGAAUUGCAAGUAGUCUGAUGACCUUCUCCUGAAAGAGGAGGAGGCCACCCCUUUUCUCCCAAGACUGGCCAGGAUUACAAUUAAAUGAGUAGCUGACAUGUGACAGAGCUCCAUCAUGAGAAGAAGAUCUGCCCGGAGAAUGAGUCUACAUCAAAUUGGUAUGAUCAAGGAAGAUAUCGCUUGCAGCAGUCUCUCACAAGUUUCAAAAUGACUCGCAAGGGUUUAAAAGCUGUAUGUGCAUUGGUAAUGAAGAAGAAAACAGCAGGAAGAGUAGAAAUCAGCACUACCAAGCUUUCCCUUAUAGCUCAUAAUGUCAAAUUUCCAAACAAAAAGAGGACUCACGUCACCUUGGAGAAGCCUUUGGGAGCCUCUGGACAGAGGGGAAGCUUUUAAUGAUCAAGCACACACAGUUCUAGUAAAGUGUAUUUUAUAAUGGACUCUUAGUUUCUGUGUGUUCCUCUUCACCAAAGGCCACCCCAGACAUCAGAAAUGUAUGGAUCUGUGAGGUGAGAUGUGUU
rnacentral:lncRNA from 1 species